GGGGCUGUAGCUCAGUGGUAGAGUGCUUGCCUUGGAUGUGCGAGGCACUGGGUUCAAUCCUCAGCACCA
rnacentral:tRNA from 1 species